AAAAGUGGUGGUGUCAAUCACCCCCCUAGGCUACUGAUGCUUGGGCUUGCUCUUGCUAACUAGCCUAGGCCACUUCACCCUUGAUAAAAUACCAUUGUUGCUUUGGCAGGUCGUGGCCUCGGCCCGCAGCGCCUGCCAGAGGACCCAAACUCUUUUGUUAUGUGACGUCUGAGUACUAUAUAAUAGUUA
rnacentral:misc_RNA from 1 species